rnacentral:rRNA from 1 species
AAUAGAUACCCUGGUAGUCCACGCCGUAAACGAUGAGUGCUAAGUGUUAGAGGGUUUCCGCCCUUUAGUGCUGCAGCUAACGCAUUAAGCACUCCGCCUGGGGAGUACGGUCGCAAGACUGAAACUCAAAGGAAUUGACGGGGGCCCGCACAAGCGGUGGAGCAUGUGGUUUAAUUCGAAGCAACGCGAAGAACCUUACCAGGUCUUGACAUCCUCUGACAACUCUAGAGAUAGAGCGUUCCCCUUCGGGGGACAGAGUGACAGGUGGUGCAUGGUUGUCGUCAGCUCGUGUCGUGAGAUGUUGGGUUAAGUCCCGCAACGAGCGCAACCCUUGAUCUUAGUUGCCAGCAUUUAGUUGGGCACUCUAAGGUGACUGCCGGUGACAAACCGGAGGAAGGUGAGGAUGACGUCAAAUCAUCAUGCCCCUUAUGACCUGGGCUACACACGUGCUACAAUGGAUGGUACAAAGGGCUGCAAGACCGCGAGGGCAAGCAAAUCCCAAAAAGUGCGCCUCAGUUCGGAUUGC